CCCUUAGAUGUUCUGGGCUGCACGCGUGCUACAAUGGCGCUUGCAACAAGUCUUGCCAACCCGAUAGGGUGAGCGGAUCUUUGAAGAGGCGUCGUGAUCGGGACAGUUGAUUGCAAUUAUUCGGCUCGAACGAGGAAUUCCUUGUAAUCGCGAUUCAUCAUAUCGCGCUGAAUACGUCCCUGCCCUUUGUACACACCGCCCGUCGCUCCUACCGAUUGAGCGAUCCGGUGAAUGUUUUGGACUGGCGUCAGAAGCGGUUCGCUCCUGACACUACGAAAUUUUGUAAACCUUAUCGCUUAGAGGAAGGAAAAGUCGUAACA
rnacentral:rRNA from 1 species